CUAAGGAGAAAUAGACAUUUGCGCUGUUCAAUUUUGAGGGUCUUGUGACCGCUAACUGAUAAGUGAUUAUCUGGUAGUGGAAAUGAGAGCUUUCUGAAAUUUAACUUUUGUUAAAUUUCAUUGUUCCUUGAAAAUUGCAUAUAGAAUCGACAUUAAAACACAACUUCGUUGUGUUGACGACGUGAGAAACGUAAGUUUCUUUGGAGUCCGCGCAAUGGAAGUGUUAUAAAACACUGUAUUUUAAAAAAGUCGUUUGAUGCAAGGCUUAAGCGCCGUGUAUUAAAUGCA
rnacentral:misc_RNA from 1 species